UCGCACUGAAGACCGUGUUGAAAAGUGAAAUCUAACAAGACGAGAUCAAAGCAGCGUUGUUUUGCCAGAAUUUUUACCAUCCAUCAUCAAGAUACCAAAAUGGACUAUCGAUGGACCAAUGGUAGGCAGGAAAUUGGUGGCCGUGACAGGAGACAACCUAAAAGGGAACAGGCAUAUCAGGACUCCCUUAUUGAUGAUUUGUCAGAUGAUUUUCGUUUGCCAAUUAACCACAGGCCAACCGAAAAUGUUGAUCUGGACAAUGUAGAGCAAGCGUCUCUGGACACACAGCUAGCAUCAUCUAAUAUUGGCUUUAAGCUUCUGCAAAAGAUGGGAUGGAAAGGAAAGGGUCUUGGGAAGGAUGAACAAGGAAUCAUUGAGCCAAUAAAAUCUGGGAUCAGAGAUCCAAGGCUGGGGGUUGGUAAACAAGAAGAAGAUGAUUUUUUCACUGCAGAAGAAAAUAUCCAGCGGAAAAAACUUGAUGUUGAGUUGGAGGAGACAGAGGAACACAUGAAAAAGCGGGAGGUAUGAUUUAUAAUUCAUUUAUAGCUGCUCUUAGUGCAAAGACCAUAUAGUAGUCUUGAGGUUGAUGUUUACAUUUUCUCAAACCUGCACCUCAUAGCAGAAGGCAGCAUAUAGCAUAUAUGCCUGUCUUUUGACCGGAUUGGUAUAUCAUAAGGAACCAUCAACUUUGGAAGGUCUUGAGAAUUUCCUGCAGUUUUUAUUACCUGGUGGCUUCUUCUGCCUGCUUCGUGCACAUUAUGAAAAUUCAGGUGUUAGCUGAACGUGAGCAAAAAAUUCAAACUGAAGUGAAAGAAAUCCGAAAGGUGUUUUACUGUGAUCUCUGCAACAAGCAAUACAAAUUGGCGAUGGAAUUUGAAGCACACUUGAGCUCUUAUGAUCAUAAUCACCGAAAGCGCUUCAAACAAAUGAAGGAGAUGCACGGUAGUAGUAGCCGGGAUGAUAGGCAAAAGCGAGAACAGCAGCGGCAAGAGAGAGAAAUGGCAAAGUUUGCUCAAAUUGCUGAUGCUCAAAAGCAGCAGCGGCUUCAACUGCAACACGAGUCUGGAUCGGCACCAGUUUCUGCCGAAACUAGAACUGCUACUGCACUUACAGAUCAGGAGCAGCGAAAUACUUUGAAGUUUGGGUUUUCUUCUAAAGGCAAUGCUUCUAAGAACACGAUUGGUGCCAAGAAGCAAAAUGUUGCAAAGAAGCAAAAUGUUUCGGUGUCCUCCAUAUUUAGUAAUGAUAGUGAUGAAGAAUAGCUGAACAUUACUCUUGCAGCAACAUAUGAACAUUAUCUCCUGGGUGUUUUGGUUUGCAUUAGAUGUUUUAUUUAUUUGUCACCAUGGUCAGUUUAAGGAGACAAAAAAUACAUUUGGGAUUCCGUGAUGAUUUGGAGAGUUUGGUAGACUAUAAAUAUUGCUUAUGUGACAUUGUUAUGUUUGCAAGGAUGAUCUUGACUUGAGUGCCAUGGUUAACAUCGUUAGUUCCAUCAAUAUUUGAAUUACAAAGGCUAGCCAAUGCCUAACGACAUAGAUGUGUAAUUUCUAAUAUAUUGCAGAUCAGCUUUAACUAGGUUCACC